AUCAUCAUCACACUCCCCUCUGUUUUUCUCUCUCUAUACCCCUCGUCUAUCCCCCCACCAUCAUCAUCAUCACACUUCCCUCUCUUUUUCUCUCUCUCUUUUCCCCAUUCUCACCAUCAUCUCCCCCAUCGUGAAUAACCAUUAUCAACAUCCUUCUCCAUCAUCGUCGGCCAUACCCCUCUUUUUCCUUCUUUCUCCUUUCUCCUCCAACCCUCCAUCUCCACCAGCGUCAACAUCAGCCGCAAAUCCUUCCGCCUUGGAAAAUUCGUCCAAGACCUCAACGCACUCCAAGUCUUACACAAACCGCACGUCUCCUCCGAUCUCAACUUCUUUCUCUCCGUCGUCGACUUCGACAGCGAGGGAGUCUAUUACUUCAUCGAACAACUCGUGUGGCUCGCCAAAUCGGGACCCAUCGAUCUGAAGUGGUCACGUUCGUCCAUAGGAGGUCUGAGGAGAUGGACGGAGAUGAAAUAGGGUUAGGAGCACUGAAGCCAAACGGAGCUUCGAGGAGAAUUUUGGUUCUGUGAGGAGCAAUAGGAUUAGGGAAAGUCGUGGAGUUGUUUUGUAAUUGACACCAGCAAUAGCCAUGAGGACAGAGCAUGAAUUAGAAAAGAGAAAAUAAUGCUUAUUCCAAUUGAAUGAGUACUCUUCAUAUUCUAUGGGAACUUGAAAAGAAAUGCUCCUUAAUGUUAAAUACAAUUGAAUGAGUACUCUUACAUAAUGGUUGUAAUGGA